CACUACUUGGACGAUUCUUAUUGAUUGAAACAGGCUCUCACACACCUAGAAGCAUCCUCAGCACCACAGCCCUCUUUACAUCCCUGGGUGUACCCCUGUCCCCUGACAAAACACUGGACCCCACUACCAAACUGGUUUUCCUGGGUAUAUCCCUUGACACAGUACCCUUUCAAGCAAGUCUCCCCCAACAGAAAUUGGUCUGCAUCAGAGAGGAUUUCCUAUGAAAUUAUACCUGCACGCGAAAAGGUCUCCAAUCCUUAUUGAGAUCCCUAAACUUCGCCAUGCGGAUCAUCCCACAGGGCAGAUCAUUCAACUCCAGGCUACUGUGUCUCUUACAUGGGAUACCAGACAAG